rnacentral:rRNA from 1 species
CAGCAGCCGCGGUAAGACGGAGGGUGCUAGCGUUGUUCGGAAUCACUGGGCGUAAAGGGCGCGUAGGCGGCCUGUUAAGUCGGAUGUGAAAGCCCGGGGCUCAACCCCGGAACUGCAUCCGAGACUGGCAGGCUUGAGACCGGGAGAGGAGGGUGGAAUAUCCAGUGUAGAGGUGAAAUUCGUAGAUAUUGGAUGGAACACCGGUGGCGAAAGCGGCUCUCUGGCCCGGAUCUGACGCUGAGGCGCGAAAGCGUGGGGAGCAAACAGGAUUAGAUACCCCGGUAGUCCCUGUCUCUUAUAC